rnacentral:rRNA from 1 species
UACAGAGGGUGCAAGCGUUAAUCGGAAUUACUGGGCGUAAAGCGUGCGCAGACGGUUGCGUAAGUCAGAUGUGAAAGCCCCGGGCUCAACCUGGGAAUGGCAAUGGAUACUGGCAGGCUAGAGUGCGGUAGAGGGUAGUGGAAUUCCCGGUGUAGCGGUGAAAUGCGUAGAGAUCGGGAGGAACACCAGUGGCGAAGGCGGCUACCUGGACCAGCACUGACACUGAGGCACGAAAGCGUGGGGAGCAAACAGG